rnacentral:rRNA from 1 species
UACAGAGGGGGCAAGCGUUGUUCGGAAUUACUGGGCGUAAAGGGCGCGUAGGCGGCCUGUUAAGUCGAACGUGAAAUCCCCGGGCUCAACCCGGGAACUGCGUCCGAUACUGGAUGGCUUGAAUUCGGGAGAGGGAUGCAGAAUUCCAGGUGUAGCGGUGAAAUGCGUAGAUAUCUGGAGGAAUACCGGUGGCGAAGGCGGCUCACUGGACCGGAACUGACGCUGAGGCGCGAAAGCGUGGGGAGCAAACGGG